rnacentral:rRNA from 1 species
AGAUUAAGUUAUUAAGGGCGCACGGUGGAUGCCUUGGCACUAGAAGCCGAUGAAGGACGUUACUAACGACGAUAUGCUUUGGGUAGCUGUAAGUAAGCGUUGAUCCAGAGAUUUCCGAAUGGGGGAACCCAGCAUGAGUUAUGUCAUGUUAUCGACAUGUGAAUUCAUAGCAUGUCAGAAGGCAGACCCGGAGAACUGAAACAUCUUAGUACCCGGAGGAAGAGAAAGAAAAAUCGAUUCCCUGAGUAGCGGCGAGCGAAACGGGAAGAGCCCAAACCAACAAGCUUGCUUGUUGGGGUUGUAGGACACUCUAUACGGAGUUACAAAAGAACAUGUUAGACGAAUCAUCUGGAAAGAUGAAUCAAAGAAGGUAAUAAUCCUGUAGUCGAAAACAUAUUCUCUCUUGAGUGGAUCCUGAGUACGACGGAGCACGUGAAAUUCCGUCGGAAUCUGGGAGGACCAUCUCCUAAGGCUAAAUACUCUCUAGUGACCGAUAGUGAACCAGUACCGUGAGGGAAAGGUGAAAAGUACCCCGGAAGGGGAGUGAAAGAGAACUUGAAACCGUGUGCUUACAAGUAGUCAGAGCCCGUUAAUGGGUGAUGGCGUGCCUUUUGUAGAAUGAACCGGCGAGUUACGAUCUGAUGCAAGGUUAAGCAGCAAAUGUGGAGCCGCAGCGAAAGCGAGUCUGAAUAGGGCGUUGAGUAUUUGGUCGUAGACCCGAAACCAGGUGAUCUACCCUUGGUCAGGUUGAAGUUCAGGUAACACUGAAUGGAGGACCGAACCGACUUACGUUGAAAAGUGAGCGGAUGAACUGAGGGUAGCGGAGAAAUUCCAAUCGAACUUGGAGAUAGCUGGUUCUCUCCGAAAUAGCUUUAGGGCUAGCCUCAAGUGAUGAUUAUUGGAGGUAGAGCACUGUUUGGACGAGGGGCCCCUCUCGGGUUACCGAAUUCAGACAAACUCCGAAUGCCAAUUAAUUUAACUUGGGAGUCAGAACAUGGGUGAUAAGGUCCGUGUUCGAAAGGGAAACAGCCCAGACCACCAGCUAAGGUCCCAAAAUAUAUGUUAAGUGGAAAAGGAUGUGGCGUUGCCCAGACAACUAGGAUGUUGGCUUAGAAGCAGCCAUCAUUUAAAGAGUGCGUAAUAGCUCACUAGUCGAGUGACACUGCGCCGAAAAUGUACCGGGGCUAAACAUAUUACCGAAGCUGUGGAUUGUCCUUUGGACAAUGGUAGGAGAGCGUUCUAAGGGCGUCGAAGCAUGAUCGCAAGGACAUGUGGAGCGCUUAGAAGUGAGAAUGCCGGUGUGAGUAGCGAAAGACGGGUGAGAAUCCCGUCCACCGAUUGACUAAGGUUUCCAGAGGAAGGCUCGUCCGCUCUGGGUUAGUCGGGUCCUAAGCUGAGGCCGACAGGCGUAGGCGAUGGAUAACAGGUUGAUAUUCCUGUACCACCUAGUAUCGUUUUAAUCGAUGGGGGGACGCAG